rnacentral:lncRNA from 1 species
CGUGACCAGUUAGUUGUCACUGCCCGGAAGACAGCUGUGCAGUCCAGCCUUCUCUUUCCCAUUAUAGUUGAAGUUUCACAGAAAAGAUCAGGAAGAAGCUGUCAUUGAAUUCAGGAGUUUCAAGAAUUGUGUGUAAAAAACAUUUGGAAUAAAAACCUCCACCUUAAGAUGCAAAAGGGUAAAAAAGAAAUUCUCCAGAAAGAUUAAUUGAAGAAAAAAGCAAAAAACAUCUCACAGUCAGCACUUGUCAAAUGAGGCCUGGUGGUCAGAGCCCCCUCUGUGCUCCUAGCACGUGAGUCUUCAGGAGUCAGGCCUUGAAGAGUGUCUGCCAUUCGUUCCGAGACAGGAAGUAAGAGAUGAUUGGCCAGGAGGCUGCAGCUGCAAGUCCCAAGAGCAGCGCCUGGCGCCAGCUGCCACCCUCAGGCUUGGAGCAGAGAAGAGAUGGAAACCAAAUAACCGAGGGCCUGGCUCAGGACCUUCACGCAGUUUUCAAGAAAUUCAUCUUUUCUUGCCGUUUUCCCUGUGUUAAGUGAGUCAGGAAAUUGAAAAACAGAAAAAAUAAGCGUGAAAGUAGGUAGUUGACUCUCAUAUUUAUUCAGUUAUUUUUAAAGAGUUUAUCCUACUGAUAUGAGUAAAAUAAAAUUUUCGUUAGGAAUAAUAAGAGCUUAUUUUCUAUCUAGACAUACAGUGUCUUGUUUUGCCAUUUGAUAAGAACAUGGUUCAUGCGGUCUGAGUAAUUUGUUUACUCUCAGUUUUAAUUAAAAUUUUUUUUAAGAAUGA